GACGAACCGUGCGAACGUUGUUCGGAAUCACUGGGCUUAAAGGGCGCGUAGGCGGCGGCUCAAGUCCGGGGUGAAAGCCUCCCGCCCAACGGGAGAAGCGCCUCGGAGACUGGGCCGCUCGAGGGAGGUAGGGGCAAGCGGAACUGUGGGUGGAGCGGUGAAAUGCAUUGAUAUCCACAGGAACUCCGGUGGCGAAGGCGGCUUGCUGGACCUCUUCUGACGCUGAGGCGCGAAAGCCAGGGGAGCAAACGGG
rnacentral:rRNA from 1 species